CGCGGGGUAGAGCAGUUUGGCUAGCUCACAAGGCUCAUAACCUUGAGGUCACGGGUUCAAAUCCCGUCCCCGCUA
rnacentral:tRNA from 4 species